CUCCCACACUUGAAGCAUCUGAGGUACCACUGUAUAUGCCCUGAGAGGGGGAGCUGUUGCCUUCCACCUGCUGUGGAUUACAGCUCCCAUCAUUCCUGGUCAUGGGCCAGGCUGGCUGAGGCUCAUGAACUGGUGCAUUGCUGCUCCUGUAGGUUCCAGCAGAGCCACUGAAGUCACCUGAGCACACCUUCUGCACUGCAAGAAAGUGCUGGCACUCUGGCCACUGCCACAGCUCUAGAAAUCCUUUGUCCCAGAGUUUGCCUCUGUCAAAGCAACACUUCCCGCGCGCCACACCUGUACAAAGGACUCUGACUGCUCAAAAGCAUAAUGGAGCAAUAGAAACAUAGAAUAGUAGAGUUGGAAGGGGCCCGAGGGCCACUGGGUCCAGUCUCCUGCUCAGUGCGGGACCCCAGGUUAAACCAGCCCUCUCAGGUGGCUGUCCAGUUGUAUCUUGGA